UAGUGUAGCGGUGAAAUGCGUAGAUAUUAGGAGGAACACCAGUGGCGAAGGCGGCUUUCUGGACUGUAACUGACGUUGAGGCACGAAAGUGUGGGGAGCAAACAGGAUUAGAUACCCUGGUAGUCCACACCGUAAACGAUGAUUACUAGGUGUUGGAGGAUUGACCCCUUCAGUGCCGCAGUUAACACAAUAAGUAAUCCACCUGGGGAGUACGACCGCAAGGUUGAAACUCAAAGGAAUUGACGGGGGCCCGCACAAGCAGUGGAGUAUGUGGUUUAAUUCGAAGCAACGCGAAGAACCUUACCAGGUCUUGACAUCCAACUAACGAAGUAGAGAUACAUUAGGUGCCCUUCGGGGAAAGUUGAGACAGGUGGUGCAUGGUUGUCGUCAGCUCGUGUCGUGAGAUGUUGGGUUAAGUCCCGCAACGAGCGCAACCCUUAUGGUCAGUUACUACGCAAGAGGACUCUGGCCAGACUGCCGUUGACAAAACGGAGGAAGGUGGGGAUGACGUCAAAUCAUCAUGCCCUUUAUGACUUGGGCUACACACGUACUACAAUGGCGUUAAACAAAGAGAAGCAAGACCGCGAGGUGGAGCAAAACUCAGAAACAACGUCCCAGUUCGGACUGCAGGCUGCAACUCGCCUGCACGAAGUCGGAAUUGCUAGUAAUCGCAGAUCAGCAUGCUGCGGUGAAUACGUUCCCGGGCCUUGUACACACCGCCCGUCACACCAUGAGAGCCG
rnacentral:rRNA from 1 species